UAGCAUAUCAAUAAGCGGAGGAAAAGAAACUAACAAGGAUUCCCCUAGUAACUGCGAGUGAAGCGGGAAGAGCUCAAAUUUAAAAUCUGGCGGCUUUGCCGUCCGAGUUGUAAUUUAGAGAAGCGUUUUCCGCGCCGGACCGUGUACAAGUCUCCUGGAACGGAGCGUCAUAGAGGGUGAGAAUCCCGUCUUUGACACGGACCCCCGGUGCUCUGUGAUACGCUCUCGAAGAGUCGAGUUGUUUGGGAAUGCAGCUCAAAAUGGGUGGUGAACUCCAUCUAAAGCUAAAUAUUGGCGAGAGACCGAUAGCGAACAAGUACCGUGAGGGAAAGAUGAAAAGCACUUUGGAAAGAGAGUGAAACAGUACGUGAAAUUGCUGAAAGGGAAACGCUUGAAGUCAGUCGCGUCCGCCAGAAUUCAGCCUUACGGUGUAUUUUCUGACGGACGGGCCAGCAUCACUUUCGAUCGCCGGAAAAGGGCAGAGGGAAUGUGGCACCUCCGGGUGUGUUAUAGCCUUCUGUCGUAUACGGUGGUUGGGAGUGAGGACCGCCUAUUUUUGUAGGAUGCUGGCGUAAUGGCUUUAAACGACCCGUCUUGAAACACGGACCAAGGAGUCUAACAUGCCCGCGAGUGUUCGGGUGGAAAACCCGUGCGCGUAAUGAAAGUGAAAGUUGGGAAGGGCUGUCGUGGCCUGCACCGACGCCCGGACCUGAGAUUUAUCGACGGUUCUGCGGUAGAGCGUGUAUGUUGGGACCCGAAAGAUGGUGAACUAUGCCUGAAUAGGGUGAAGCCAGAGGAAACUCUGGUGGAGGCUCGUAGCGAUUCUGACGUGCAAAUCGAUCGUCAAAUUUGGGUAUAGGGGCGGAAAGACUAAUCGACCUUCU
rnacentral:rRNA from 1 species